UUAGUGGCGCACGGGUGCGUAACGCGUGGGAAUCUGCCCCUUGGUUCGGAAUAACAGUUGGAAACGACUGCUAAUACCGGAUGAUGACGUAAGUCCAAAGAUUUAUCGCCGAGGGAUGAGCCCGCGUAGGAUUAGGUAGUUGGUGUGGUAAAGGCGCACCAAGCCGACGAUCCUUAGCUGGUCUGGGAGGAUGAUCAGCCACACUGGGACUGAGACACGGCCCAGACUCCUACGGGAGGCAGCAGUGGGGAAUAUUGGACAAUGGGCGAAAGCCUGAUCCAGCAAUGCCGCGUGAGUGAUGAAGGCCUUAGGGUUGUAAAGCUCUUUUACCCGGGAUGAUAAUGACAGUACCGGGAGAAUAAGCUCCGGCUAACUCCGUGCCAGCAGCCGCGGUAAUACGGAGGGAGCUAGCGUUAUUCGGAAUUACUGGGCGUAAAGCGCACGUAGGCGGCUUUGUAAGUAAGAGGUGAAAGCCCAGAGCUCAACUCUGGAAUUGCCUUUUAGACUGCAUCGCUUGAAUCAUGGAGAGGUCAGUGGAAUUCCGAGUGUAGAGGUGAAAUUCGUAGAUAUUCGGAAGA
rnacentral:rRNA from 1 species